AAGAAUCCAUUUCUGGCUUUUUCCAUCGUCCGCAGGCUGCCUGAGUUCCUUGGCUCUGGGCGCUGCAUCCCUCCGACCUCUGCUUGUGUCGUCACACUUCCUUCUCCGACUCUGACUCUCUUGCCUCCCUCUUUCCCUCACAAGGACCCCUGUGAUGACCUUGGAUCUGCUCAGAUAGUCUGGAAUAAUAUUCUCCUCUCAGAAUCCUUAACUUCAUUGGAUCUGGACAUUCUCUUUUGCCACAGAAGGCAGCAUAACAACAGGUCCCAGGGAGUAAGACAUGGACCUCUUUGGGGGGGGGGUCAUUAUCUUGCCCACCACAGGAAGGAGAGGAAGGCCUCUCUGAGGAGGUGAGAUUUGGGGUGAGACCCAGAUGACAAAAACAUAUGGGGGAAAAGGAGCCCAGAUAGCGAGAACUGGCUGCAAAGCCCUUGAGCCUGGGGCAAGCCUGGAGAUCCUGAGAAAGAUGCCAGCGUGACUGAAGUGGGCAUGCAGAGGGAUGCUAAAGAGGUAAUUAGGGUGCAGGUGCCUCAGCAUCAUCUCCCUCACGGAUAGGAGCAGGGGUGUCAUUCUCGGUGUGACGGGGAGCUGAGACUUGUGUUUUUCACUGGACUGAUCCAUACUCUCAAAUGGAAACAACCUCUCUGACAAUAAUUGUCUGAGUGCUGCUGUCCAGGAGAACUCGAAUGAGAGCCACAUUUGUCACAUUGAAUCUUCUCAUGGCCACAUUUUGAAAAGUGAAAAGAAACAGGGGAAAUUAACCUUAAUGAAAGGAUUAACCCAGUACAUCAAAAUGUUAUCACGCCAACCUAUAGUCCAUAUAAGAAAUGUAUUAAUGAGAUAUUUUACCUUCUUUUUUUUUAGUGCUGUGCCUUCAGCAUCCGUGUAUGUUAUGCUCACAGCACAUCCCAGUUUGGACUGGCCACAUCUCUAGUGCUCAGUAGCCACCAUUGUUCCCUGGUGACUGUUUUGGGCAGAGCAUAUCCAGUCACUGUCCUUAGAGUCCUCUGUAGAGUCUACUCAGGUAGCAUUUGAAAAGUGGUGGAUGGUGGGGGUGUCACGGAGAACGUGGAGCUUGUGUCGUGCCCAUUAACCAUCCCCAACUUCAGAGGCUCUGAGUAGGCCACGGGGAGCAAAGGAUGGACUCGAAGAUUCUGGAAAGGAGUUUGUCCCCUGGUUGGGCUGGCAGAGCUCAUUCCCAGACCCCCAAGUUGACCCUGGCCUCCUAGAGCCACCAGGGAACAUGUGUCUCUGUGUGAUAGGUCUCAAGGAUCACCCUGCUGGCCACCCCUCACACCUUCAAUCCCCUGAAGAAGUUUUAGCCAAAGCCAGACGUUUUUGCAUUUCUUUGUAGACAGGGCCGUUUAUUCACCUCAUUAUACCACUAUUACUGAAAACAAGGGUGGAGGUCAAGGAACAGGAAAGAUUCAAUGAAGCAAUGAGAGGGUAUCGGUUGCUAAGGCAAGAAUUACAUCCCAGACACUUCCACCUAUACCCCUGCUCUCUUGUGCUCUUGCGAUGACCCCAAUAUUAGCUGUGAGAGUCGAGCCCAAAGAGAUUAGUACCAGCAGAACAUCAUGUGCAUCCACUUGGAUUUUUUACAGUGAUAUUAAAUUAAACGGGUUUAUGAAACAGAAAAUAAAGAUCUAAAUUAAACAUGUAGGUCAUGAUGGUUUGCAUAAAGGCCAACUUAUGAGAAACAAUAAAAGUAGCAGCAGCUUUAUCAGCCUUUCCUAUGUAGAGCCAGUGAUCUGCGCUCCAUGCCCAGCUCUCCGGAGAACGGCUGGUGCCGAGUUCCCUUGUGAUGACAGGUUUGGUGGGCAGGCCUCUUGACCCUGACGUCUGGGCUGUGGGUACCAGCAGCCCCAUCAGAAGGGCAGUUUGGCCACGUUGAUGUAGAGUGGCAAAAAUUCUAAUGUGCAAAGACAGAGGUGGCCUCAGUGAGGAUUUGGGGGUCUUAGAACAGCAGUCACAUUACCAGUGUCUCUAAUUAGGGUGCCUGCAAUCUGGCGCAAUUUAUAUCUGCCUUCCCAAAAGGGGUGGAAUGUUUCCCUCUAAUAUAACAUAGCAUGAGUCCUCCUUGGAUGAAUUUUCCAAAAUUAUAAGGCCGUGGUAGUGGGGACGGGGGAGGAGGAGCAGCUAUGACAUAGAAAUCUGUUGCCUUGAAAAUCAACUGUGAUCUUUGCAAACAGUGGGUUUAUUAACAAAUAUUUCUCUGGUACCUGGGAAGUGCUACCUUCUGGAGGGACUUCAAAAGCACAAGGUUCUUACUUUCCAAAGGCUUCAGACCAGGUUGGAAAAAAAAAAAAAAAUGACUAUGCAAUAAUAAAUGUAACAGCACAUGGUGCCAGUGUGGUACAUAGAAUCAGGCUCUGACCUGAGAAUUGGUAGAUCUGAAUUCUGCCGCUAAGCUGCUUCAGAAUCCUACUCCCAUAAGUCUAGUUAUCCUCUAAAUAGGAGCCAUAUCCUGGAUCACCCAAGACUCAGUUCCUGGGGAUCAGAAGUCACCUUACCCUUCUGGACCGCAGGAUCUUCCUCUAAACAUCAGAAUGUUGAAUGGGCUGUGAUGGUAAUAAUAAUAGUAGCUCCAUUUAGUAAGGGCUGACUUUGUGCUCAUGAUUGUGCCAUGUGCUUUACAUGAAUUAACUCCUAUAUAUCUAAAGCACACUUAACUAAGAGAUGGGUUCUAUUAUUCCUAUUAUGUAGAUGAGAAAACUGAGAUGUACCUUAAGUAAUUUACCCCAAAUCAGAGCGUUGACUGAUACACAGCUGGGGUUUAGCUACAAGGCUCUGAGCCUAUAAAGUUUGGGAUCUAAAUAAAUGCCCUGAAGCCCAUCCCAGCUGUCACAUUCUUCAGUUGUGGGGACCUUUUCUACCAUGGGAAGGUUACUUGGGGGACUAAAAAGGGUAAAGACCGAUAGAGGAAACCAUGUUGCCAUAAAACAAACCAAGCUCGAGCAUCAUCUGUGGCUCAGAGAACUCAGACCUAACUGCCUCAGAACACAGGAGGCUCAAGUUCAGCAUCUUUUUCUGGAAUAUCCUGAUCAGUCAGUGCAGGUAUCUCAGUUGAUGUUCAUGGGACACUGGUCAUUCAGCAAAUGAGUCCCCAAAAAGGGACUUCAAGGCUGCUGCAUGACAAGUCUCACCUUUUCAAUCAUUUUCGUUUUACACCCAUCUCGGCCACAGAGGGGGCGGCGAGGGGAGGGGGGAGCUGUGAAUUUCACUCUGGCCAUCAUGUUUUGUGAGGACGUACGCAUGAAUACAGAUUGGCACCCACAAAGUCUUCGCUCUGUGACAACGGUGGGUUCGGUUUCCUCUGCUUACACAACCAAUGCCGUCUGAGGCCACUUGGGUUUAGAUGGUGCAUUGGCCGCAGGCUGUUUCGUUAUGUGUUGCCCAGUUACCUUGGCUUCCUGCACAUUCUCUUGAGCAGAUGGUUUAUCUCCUUAUCUCAGAGGAUUUUUUCCCCAAGUGUAGCCCCAGAGUCAAGAGCUUUGAUACCAUCAAGGCAAGAAGGCAUUAAACCACCCUUGGUGUAGUUGUUUCAGUCGUAUUUUUUCAUGUCUGCUUCAUGAAAAGAUGAUGCGGUUAGAUUCGAGCCUGGCCUUGCCAAGGGUAUUGUGUGUGCCUGGGGUUACCCACAUCAUCACGUGGCUUACCUUCUUUUGCACUGUGGUGAUCUUAUCUUCUUUGCUGCACCUACCAUCAAGCACAAGCUUCUCCCAGCUUCUGUGUGUGUGUAUGUGUGUAUGUAUGUUUGAGUGCACACACACACACACACACACACACACACACACAUGCAUUCAGGUGUGCAUGGACUUUUGCUCAUGGCAGCAGCUUCUAAAAUAAUACUUGGAGUUCCCUUUGGGCUCAGUGGUUAAUGAACCCAACUAGGAUCCAUGAGGAUGAGGGUUCGAUCCCUGGCUUCACUUAGUGGGUUGGGUAUUCAGCAUUGCUCUGAGCUGUGGUGUAGGUCACAGACUUGGCUCGGAUCCCACGUUGCCGUGGCUGUGGUGUAGGCUGGCAGCUGUAGCUCCGAUUUGACCCACAGCCUGGGAACUUCCGUAUGCCGUGGGUGUGGCCUUAAAAAAGCAAAUAAUAAUAAUAACACUUUAUCAUUCAUCUAUAAUGAGUCCUUUGCUAAGCUCUUAGGGGAAAAACAAAAAACACCUUUAUUGGCUUUUCCAUUUAGAAAUUUGGAACAAAGUUUCCCUUAAGCAGACACAUUUCUUUUUAAUAUAAGCUGAUAAUUCUGCUGUUCCUUCCAUGUGCCAGGAACUGAGCCAGCUACUCAGUGUGCAAAGAUAAAUAUGACUAAGCUACUGUCCUUGAGAGAUUGUGUACAUACCCAUGGAGAGAAAAUAUGUUAACAGAGGGCUAGAGUUCAACCUAGGGCAGGGGGGACAGAGGGGUGCCAUGAACAGAGUUCUGAAGACAGUUGAGGAGGACCAGGAGAUGCUAUGAAAAGGGGCAGACAUUUGAACUCCAUAUUCAAAGUCAAGUACAAGUUUGCUAGUUGAAGAAGGAAAAGAUAUUCCCCACAGAGGGAAUAGCACAGAAAUACUGAAGCUGUGAACAUGUGGGCUGUUUAGUGUGGCUGGAGCAGAGCAGGUAAAUGAGGAUGAGGCUAUAGAAAGAUGGGCUGGUUCAGCCAGGGAAGGACUCUGUGCCCCGUCCUCAUGGAUGCUUUAGGAUUUAAAGCCGGGAGUUCCCAUUGUGGCUCAGCAGUAACAAACCCGACUAUCAUCCAUGAGGAGGCAGAUUUGGUCCCUGGCCUCCCUCAUUGGAUUAAGGUUCCAGCGUUGCCAUGAGCCGUGGUAUGUAGGUUGCAGAUGCAGCUCAGAUCUGGUGUUGCUGUGGCUGUGGCUGUGGCAUAGGCCAGUGGCUAAAAAUCAAGAGGAGACUGGGAAUCUCACCAAAAUGAAGAGUUUUGCCCUCCUAGCGAGACAGAGCCAUGCCUGCUAGCUUGUCCCAACUGGGGGUCCUCCUUUCAUGGGUGACUGAACCCUCCUAGCACCUGGCCUGCCAUGGUCAGAGUGUGAGUGAGUCUUCAGUAUCCUUGACUCUUACUGACCACUUAAAAGACACAAGGGAAGAACUGUUGUUGUGUUUCACCUGGUCUUUGGGAAGCCAAUGGACACUUAACCCUGACCCCCCUUGGAAGCAGUUGGUUUGCGAGGCUACAGCUGCAAGGCUCUAGGGUGAGGGAAGGAGCUGGAUGCCUGGGAGACCCACACCCGCAGUCUUGUCUGAGCUUUGCCGCUCUCAUGCUUGGAUAAGUCAUUUCUCCCCAGGCUCCAGGGAGCUUAUCUGAAAAUGAGGGGCUGGACUCUACGGCUUCUAAGGGCCCUCUUCUGUCCCAUGGGAGUCUUCCAUACCUCUUUAAUUUCUAGGAAAGCUGAGUGGUCUGUGAAGUGCUCCAUGUUAACCAGGUGGCUCUGGAGGCUUUUGUGCCCUGAACAAGGGGGAAAAAAAAUCACCCAGUGGUCCCUCCCUGCAUCUCCCUGGAGCAACAUAGCAGGGGGUGGGGACAGAACCUCACUUUCUGCCUUGGUAGUCCCUGGGUUUGUAACUUUGGAGAGCAUAUGCCUCCACCCCGCUCCCAGCCCCCAGGGGACAGAGCUUCCUAAGGGAAGCAGGAGGUGAAAAAGGAGGGCGAUGUGAGAAGGAGGUGGUAGCCCCAGGAUGGUGUGGAGGGCAGGAGAGGCCUCCUCCCAGAACACUGGUUCAGGCAGAGGGGGCAAUGGAGAGAGCUGGGGCAUGAGCAUGGGUUUUGCUAUCCUGAGACCCGGACUCCAGUGCUGAGCCCACUAUUGACUCGAGGUACAGCCUCCCUUUGUCUCUACCGACCUCCUUUCCUCUGUGAAAUGCAAGGAAGAGAGGUCCUAGGACUCUCAGGAGCACAAACUCAGAUAAGGCCUGGUUCCUGGUGUGUGAUAAGUGUCCCAUAAAUGGUAGCUUUUAAAAAAAAAAUCUAUUAUUUUUAAUGUCUAGAAAAGUAAGUUAGGGCCAGAAUGCAGAGGCCUCUGUCUGCCAGAGCAAGGAGUUUCGACUUUAUCCUGCCACCCCUUGGCUAGCCACUGAGGGGAAUCCGGCAGGGAGUGGCAUUUAAAAAGCUGGUGCUGGGGGAAUCUCCACGUGUCACCAAUUUGGGGCAGAUAUGAAAAAGCAGGCUGGGUCACUUUGCUGUACAGCUGAAAUUGACAGAACAUUGUAAAUCAACUAUAAC
rnacentral:lncRNA from 1 species